CCUACGGGUAGCAGCAGUGGGGGAUAUUGCACAAUGGGGGAAACCCUGAUGCAGCGACGCCGCGUGUGGGAUGACGGUCUUCUGGAUUGUAAACCACUGUCGCCAGGGACGAAAAUGACGGUACCUGGGGAGGAAGCUCCGGCUAACUACGUGCCAGCAGCCGCGGUAAUACGUAGGGAGCAAGCGUUGUCCGGAAUUACUGGGUGUAAAGGAAGCGUAGGCGGGGAUGCAAGUUGGGUGUCAAAACUACCGGCUCAACCGAUAGUCGCACUCAAAACUGCAGCUCUUGAGUGAAGUAGAGGCAGGCGGAAUUCCUAGUGUAGCGGUGAAAUGCGUAGAUAUUAGGAGGAACACCAGUGGCGAAGGCGGCCUGCUGGGCUUUUACUGACGCUGAGGCUCGAGAGUGUGGGGAGCAAACAGGAUUAGAUACCCCAGUAGUC
rnacentral:rRNA from 1 species